UUAGAAGCAGCCACCCUUUAAAGAAAGCGUAAUAGCUCACUGAUCGAGUCGUCCUGCGCGGAAGAUGUAACGGGGCUAAGCCAUAUACCGAAGCUGCGGAUGCGAGCUAGUCUCGCAUGGUAGGAGAGCGUUCCGUAAGCCUGCGAAGGUGCGUUGAAAAGCGUGCUGGAGGUAUCGGAAGUGCGAAUGCUGACAUGAGUAGCGAUAAAGGGGGUGAAAGGCCCCCUCGCCGUAAGCCCAAGGUUUCCUACGCAACGUUCAUCGGCGUAGGGUGAGUCGGCCCCUAAGGCGAGGCAGAAAUGCGUAGCUGAUGGGAAGCAGGUCAAUAUUCCUGCACCAUUGUUAGAUGCGAUGGGGGGACGGAUCGCGGAAGGUUGUCCGGGUGUUGGAAGUCCCGGUCGCUGCAUUGGAGAAGGCGCUUAGGCAAAUCCGGGCGUAGGAUUCAAGGGUGUGGCGCGAGCUCCUUCGGGAGCGAAGCAAUUGGAAGUGGUUCCAAGAAAAGCCUCUAAGCUUCAGUCUAACGAUGACCGUACCGCAAACCGACACAGGUGGGCGAGAUGAGUAUUCUAAGGCGCUUGAGAGAACUCGGGAGAAGGAACUCGGCAAAUUGGUACCGUAACUUCGGGAUAAGGUACGCCCUGGUAGCUUGACUGGCCUGCGCCAGAAGGGUGAAGGGGUUGCAAUAAACUGGUGGCUGCGACUGUUUAAUAAAAACACAGCACUCUGCAAACACGAAAGUGGACGUAUAGGGUGUGACGCCUGCCCGGUGCCGGAAGAUUAAAUGAUGGGGUGCAAGCUCUUGAUUGAAGUCCCGGUAAACGGCGGCCGUAACUAUAACGGUCCUAAGGUAGCGAAAUUCCUUGUCGGGUAAGUUCCGACCUGCACGAAUGGCGUAACGAUGGCCACACUGUCUCCUCCCGAGACUCAGCGAAGUUGAAGUGUUUGUGAUGAUGCAAUCUACCCGCGGCUAGACGGAAAGACCCCAUGAACCUUUACUGUAGCUUUGCAUUGGACUUUGAACCGAUCUGUGUAGGAUAGGUGGGAGGCUAUGAAACCGGAACGCUAGUUUCGGUGGAGCCGUCCUUGAAAUACCACCCUGGUUUGUUUGAGGUUCUAACCUUGGCCCGUGAUCCGGGUCGGGGACAGUGCAUGGUAGGCAGUUUGACUGGGGCGGUCUCCUCCCAAAGCGUAACGGAGGAGUACGAAGGUACGCUAGGUACGGUCGGAAAUCGUGCUGAUAGUGCAAUGGCAUAAGCGUGCUUAACUGCGAGACCGACAAGUCGAGCAGGUGCGAAAGCAGGUCAUAGUGAUCCGGUGGUUCUGUAUGGAAGGGCCAUCGCUCAACGGAUAAAAGGUACUCUGGGGAUAACAGGCUGAUACCGCCCAAGAGUUCAUAUCGACGGCGGUGUUUGGCACCUCGAUGUCGGCUCAUCUCAUCCUGGGGCUGUAGCCGGUCCCAAGGGUAUGGCUGUUCGCCAUUUAAAGAGGUACGUGAGCUGGGUUUAAAACGUCGUGAGACAGUUUGGUCCCUAUCUGCCGUGGGCGUUGGAAGUUUGAAGGGGGCUGCUCCUAGUACGAGAGGACCGGAGUGGACGAACCUCUGGUGUACCGGUUGUGACGCCAGUCGCAUCGCCGGGUAGCUAUGUUCGGAAGAGAUAACCGCUGAAAGCAUCUAAGCGGGAAACUCGCCUUAAGAUGAGACUUCCCCGGGGACUUGAUCCCCUUGAAGGGUCGUUCGAGACCAGGACGUUGAUAGGUCGGGUGUGUAAGCGCAGUAAUGCGUUCAGCUAACCGAUACUAAUUGCCCGUACGGCUUGAUCCU
rnacentral:rRNA from 1 species